rnacentral:rRNA from 1 species
UACGGAGGGUGCAAGCGUUAUCCGGAUUCACUGGGUUUAAAGGGUGCGUAGGUGGGCAAGUAAGUCAGUGGUGAAAUCUCCGGGCUUAACCCGGAAAGGUCAACUGAUACUGCGGGGCUAGAGUGCAGAAGGGGCAACUGGAAUUCUCGGUGUAGCGGUGAAAUGCGUAGAUAUCGAGAGGAACACCUGCGGCGAAGGCGGGUUGCUGGGCUGACACUGACGCUGAACUGCGAAAGCUAGGGGAGCGAACGGG